rnacentral:rRNA from 1 species
UUCGGUUGUAAAGUUACUUUCAGCAGUGAGGAAGGUGGUAGUGUUAAUAGCAUAUUCUAUUUGUACGUUAGCUGCAGAAGAAGACACCGGCUAACUCCGUCGCCAGCAGCCGCGGUAAGUACGGAGGGUGGCGAGACGUUAAGUACGGUAAUUACGUGGGACGUAAAGCGCAUGCAGGUGGUUUGUUAAGUCAGAUGUAGAAAGGACCCGGGGCGUCAACCUACCGGAAUAGACUAUUUAGUAAACGUAGGCAGACUAGAGUACUGUAGAGGGGGGUAGGAAUUUCAGGUGUAGCGGUGAAAUGCGUAGAGAUCUGAAGGAAUACCGGUGGCGAAGGCGGCCCCCUGGACAGAUACUGACACUCAGAUGCGAAAGCGUGGGGAGCAAACAGGAUUAGAUACCCUGGUAG